UACGUAGGGUGCAAGCGUUAAUCGGAAUUACUGGGCGUAAAGCGUGCGCAGGCGGUUCUAUAAGACAGAUGUGAAAGCCCCGGGCUCAACCUGGGAAUGGCGGUUGAAACUGGCGAACUUGAAUCUGGCAGAGGGGGGUGGAAUUCCACGUGUAGCAGUGAAAUGCGUAGAGAUGUGGAGGAACACCGAUGGCGAAGGCAGCCCCCUGGGCUGAGAUUGACGCUCAGGCACGAAAGCGUGGGGAGCAAACAGG
rnacentral:rRNA from 1 species